rnacentral:tRNA from 1 species
GUCCCUGUAGUAUAAACAAAUACACCAGUCUUGUAAACUGGAAACGGACACCCCCCCUCCAAGGACA